GAUGAAGAACGUAGCGAAAUGCGAUACUUGGUGUGAAUUGCAGAAUCCCGUGAACCAUCGAGUCUUUGAACGCAAGUUGCGCCUCAAGCCAUUAGGUUGAGGGCACGUCUGCCUGGGCGUCACAUAUCGUUGCCUGAUGCCAGUUUCCUCGUGAUGGGUGACUGUGCAGGGCGAAUGAUGGCUUCCCGUGAGCAUUGUUGCCUCAUGGUUGGUUGAAAAUUGAGUCCUUGGUAGGGAGCGCCGUGAUAAAUGCUGGUUGAGUGACGAACGAGACCCAAUCAUGUGAGACCCCUACCGAAUUUGGCCUUCAUGACCCACAUGCGUCUUUGGAACGCUCAUGACGAGACCUCAGGUCAGGCGGGGCUACCCGCUGAGUUUAAGCAUAUCAAUAAGCGGAGGA
rnacentral:misc_RNA from 1 species